rnacentral:rRNA from 1 species
GACGAACGCUGGCGGCGUGCUUAACACAUGCAAGUCGAACGGUGAAGCGCCUUCCUUUUUGGUGGGUGUGGAUGAGUGGCGAACGGGUGAGUAACACGUGAGUAACCUGCCCCCUUCUUCUGGAUAACCGCAUGAAAGUGUGGCUAAUACGGGAUAUUCUGGGUCUGUCGCAUGAUGGGUCUGGGAAAGAUAUUGUUUCGGUGGGGGAUGGGCUCGCGGCCUAUCAGCUUGUUGGUGGGGUGAUGGCCUACCAAGGCGGUGACGGGUAGCCGGCAUGAGAGGGUGGACGGUCACACUGGGACUGAGACACGGCCCAGACUCCUACGAGAGGCAGCAGUGGGGAAUAUUGCACAAUGGGCGCAAGCCUGAUGCAGCGACGCCGCGGGAGGGAUGGAGGCCUUCGGGUUGUGAACCUCUUUCGCCAGUGAAGCAGGCCUGCCUCGUUUGUGGGUGGGUUGACGGUAGCUGGAGAAGAAGCGCCGGCUAACUACGUG